GGGAGAUAGAUCUGUGAGAAACCAUGAAUAGCCAGCACUGAAUUCUAGCCUUGGAGUUGUGAAGACCUGAGUUUGUAUCCUGCUCCACAUACUUAUAGCUGUGAUCCUUGGCAAAUCGCUUAUUUUUUCUCAAUCUCAGUUUCCUCAUCUAUAAACUACAUAUAAAAAUAGCAUCUACCUCCUAGAGUUGUUGCUAGUAUUGGAUGGUAAAGGGUUUUGCAAACCUCAACAUGCUGUAUAAACUUCAGCUAUGAUUAUCAAAUAGGCCAGCUUGGCUAGAACAUAAGAGUACUUAAGACAAGUAAUGUGAUAAGUCUAGAUAGGUAGUAAAUACUGGAAAAGUACUUUAAAUGCUGAAUAUAUGUGUUUCUAUUUUACCUUAGUGGCACAAUGAGGUAGGAAAGGAGAAGUUUAAAAUUAGGGAUAGGGUAAGUUCUUCUGGACAAGUUCUGGAAGGGAUGGGAAGAGCAUAGGAUUAAAGAUGUAAACAGAAGGGUUGAUAUCUCAGCCAGGAGAGGGCCCCCCCCCAUUACCUUCAACACUUAAUGUUGGAGCUGGGGAAGGAGAGAAAGCUAGAAGCUGAGCUAGAAGAGUGGAGCCUUGGAAUAGAGGAAGCACAAUAUGGGUUCUUCCUGAGUUCAAAUAUGGUCUCAGACACUUACUAGUUGUGUGACCUUGGGCGAGUCACUUCAUCCAGUUUGCCUCAGUUUCCUCAUCUGUCAAAUGAGCUGGAGAAGGAAAUGGCAAACGACUCCAGUAUCUUUGUCAGGAAACCUCCAAAUGGGGUCAUGAAGAGUCAAGCACAAUUGAAAACCACUGAACUCUACUCUGUCCUACAAAUUUUUUUUUCCUUUUUUAUUUUUUGACAAUUGAUUUAUAUACCUCAUAACUCAGCCAUGUAUCCGAGGUCAUCCAUGUGUUGUUGGUCAACACCCUCCUCAGGGGGGAUUGUAUUAUUGUCAUAACAUUCUAAGUUUAAAAAGUCUAGGUUUAUAAAAAUUUUUCUUGUUUGAGAGUAAUUUUAAGAUAAGAAACUUACUACCUCCCCAAAUCAAGAAAGUGAACUGUUUGGAGAAGGUACCAUAUAAAGAUGCCUGCAGAAACCAUACAUUGCACCAAAAGAUCCAGAAUGAACUUUGGGAUGUAGCAAAAAAAAAAGAAAGAAAAAAAGUGAGGG
rnacentral:lncRNA from 1 species